rnacentral:rRNA from 1 species
AAACGACUCUCGGCAACGGAUAUCUCGGCUCUCGCAUCGAUGAAAAACGUAGCGAAAUGCGAUACUUGGUGUGAAUUGCAAAAUCCCGUGAAUCAUCGAGUCUUUGAACGCAAGUUGCGCCCGAAGCCUUUUGGCCGAGGGCACGUCUGCCUGGGUGUCACGC